GCCUCAGUAACGGCGAGUGAAGCGGCAAAAGCUCAAAUUUGAAAUCUGGCGCCUGCGGUGUCCGAGUUGUAAUUUGGAGAGGCGUCUUCUGGUGGGACCCAGCCUAUCUUCCUUGGAACAGGAGGUCACAGAGGGUGAGAAUCCCGUCCUUGGCUGGAUGCUCCCACCUGUAUGUAGUGUCUUCAACGAGUCGAGUUGUUUGGGAAUGCAGCUCAAAAUGGGUGGUAAAUUUCAUCUAAAGCUAAAUACUGGCGAGAGACCGAUAGCGCACAAGUAGAGUGAUCGAAAGAUGAAAAGCACUUUGAAAAUAGAGUCAAAAAGUACGUGAAAUUGUUGAAAGGGAAGCGCUGGAGACCAGACUCGGCCUUGGACAAACAGCUCCCCUUCUGGUGGGUGCACUUGCCCUCGGCUGGGCCAGCAUCAGUUGGGGUGGCGGGACAAAGGCCCGUGGAAUGUGGCUCCCCUCGGGAAGUGUUAAAGCCAUGGGUGCAAUGCCGUCUACCCCGACUGAGGACCGCGCUUCUGCUAGGAUGCUGGCGUAAUGGUCUUCAGCGACCCGUCUUGAAACACGGACCAAGGAGUCUAACAUCUAUGCGAGUGUUUGGGCUUCAAACCCUCACGCGGAAUGAAAGUGAACGGAGGUGGGAACCCCGCGAGGGGCGCACCAUCGACCGAUCCUGAUGUCUUCNGAUGGAUUUGAGUAGGAGCAUAGCUGUUGGGACCCGAAAGAUGGUGAACUAUGCCUGAAUA
rnacentral:rRNA from 1 species